ACACUUCAAGGAUAUGUUAUCAUAGGUGCAAAAAGACAGCUAGGCUCAGUUAAGAUAAAGGUUGACCUUGUCAGUGAAGAGACCGGCCUCGGACGUAACUACCCACCAUCACUGCUUUUAGUUAAAGUUCAAUUUCAUCCUUUGUGGUUACUUUUGGUCUCUGAGUUUGCAAGACUGCCAUGCAGGCUUUCCCUGAGCUUGUCAGGUUCACAUGUGGCCCCUUUCGUCCGCAAUUCCUCUCCUCUUCUUCCUAGUAGCCUUAACCUGGAAUAAAAUAUGAUCAUGCUUCCUGAAGGACAGUGACCUCCCUCAGGGAUGUGCUACAGAUCAGCUGGGAGGAAACUGGACUCUGAGCAGGAGCCCCUGGAAUGUCCUGAGGCCACAGGUGGAGCCACUGUCAGAGGCGUUUGUGAGCCGGGGAAAUGGGUGGAACCUUUCCUCUUCUGGGAUGAGCACCGUCAGCGUGAAAACCCUGUGGUAAGCGCCUCCUUGUGUUUUUGCUGGGGAGCAAGUCCCACCAGCUCCUGCCUUAGCAAUGAGGAAGCCGGGCAGGAAUACCCUGCUGGGGCGCUCCUGCUCCCACCUCCAGUGCCUGUUGUGGACUCCUCAUCACUCUACUCAGCCUUCCAAUAGAACUGACCACACAGCAACACUACCUCCCAGAGUCUCCUUCAUUCAAAAUGAAGGGCCCAUUGUUGGCCCUGGCUGGGUAGCCCAGUUGGUUAGAGCAUCGUCCCAAUACACCGUGGAUGCAGAUUUGGUCCCUGGUCAGGGCACAUACAAGAAUCAACCGGUGAAUGCAUAAACCAGUGGAGCAACAAGUCGAUGUUUCUCUUUCUCACCUUCCUCUCUCUCAAAUACAUCAAAAACAUUAAAAAAUAAGGUAAAAAGAUAAA